CGCCAUCACUCCUACGGGAGGCAGCAGUGGGGAAUCUUGGACAAUGGGGGCAACCCUGAUCCAGCCAUGCCGCGUGAGUGAUGAAGGCCUUAGGGUCGUAAAGCUCUUUCGCCUGUGAUGAUAAUGACAGUAGCAGGUAAAGAAACCCCGGCUAACUCCGUGCCAGCAGCCGCGGUAAUACGGAGGGGGUUAGCGUUGUUCGGAAUUACUGGGCGUAAAGCGCGCGUAGGCGGAUUAGUCAGUUAGAGGUGAAAUCCCAGGGCUCAACCCUGGAACUGCCUUUAAUACUGCUAGUCUUGAGUUCGAGAGAGGUGAGUGGAAUUCCGAGUGUAGAGGUGAAAUUCGUAGAUAUUCGGAGGAACACCAGUGGCGAAGGCGGCUCACUGGCUCGAUACUGACGCUGAGGUGCGAAAGUGUGGGGAGCAAACAGGAUUAGAUACCCUGGUAG
rnacentral:rRNA from 1 species